rnacentral:rRNA from 1 species
AUGGCGCGUGGGCCGUGCUUGCUGCUGGCGCCGUGGGGCACCUUACGCGGCUCCCCGCCCACCCGCACGGCAAGUCUGUACAUUGGCCACAACCGGAUCCACAGGGAAGAGGUGCUCGAGAUGGAGGAGGACAUCCAGAUUGAGAGUGCAGAUUAUAUAGCAACAACCAUGAACUACCAUACAAUCAUCAUAUCACACAUUCCACCUAUGAGUAUGAAGAUCCGUGACAAGGCUCAUCUCUUCGGUGAGCAGCAGUGUGCUACGUUGGACAGUUACCAAGGCUGGACGGAGGUGUGCCCGUGCAGCCGGACGGUGUCGUCCUGGUCGAGCAGAUCGCCGUACCAAGGUUGCCUGCCGGACUCCAAUUCCCUACCGCUGUCAAGCUCUAGAUCAAGCUCCACAUGGACCUGUCUAUCCGUGCGAUACUGCAUUUCCCUGGUGGCCGUCUGUUCCGCUUGGCGUUUCCUCUGGAUCUGA